UACCAGACUCCUACGGGAGGCAGCAGUGGGGAAUAUUGCACAAUGGGGGAAACCCUGAUGCAGCGACGCCGCGUGAGUGAAGAAGUAAUUCGUUAUGUAAAGCUCUAUCAGCAGGGAAGAAAAUGACGGUACCUGGGGAGGAAGCUCCGGCUAACUACGUGCCAGCAGCCGCGGUAAUACGUAGGGAGCGAGCGUUGUCCGGAAUUACUGGGUGUAAAGGGAGCGUAGACGGUUAAGCAAGUCUGGAGUGAAAGGCGGGGGCCCAACCCCCGGACUGCUCUGGAAACUGUGUAACUAGGGUGCAGGAGAGGUAAGCGGAAUUCCUAGUGUAGCGGUGAAAUGCGUAGAUAUUAGGAGGAACACCAGUGGCGAAGGCGGCUUACUGGACUGUAACUGACGUUGAGGCUCGAAAGCGUGGGGAGCAAACAGGAUUAGAUACCCGGGUA
rnacentral:rRNA from 1 species